CCACUGCUAUCGGAGUUCGAUUAAACCAUGCGAGUCGAGAGGUGCAAGACCUCGGCAUACUGCUCGUAACACGUGGACAAUCUGACCUAUGGAAGGGGAUAACCCCGGGAACUAGGGAGUAAUACCUUAUAAACUAAUGGAUGCUGAAGCGCUGUAGUUGAAAGGUGAGCCGCCAUAGGAUGGGUCGCGGCCGAUUAGGUAGUUGUGGGGUAACGGCCCGCAAGCCUGUAAUCGGUACGGGUUGUGGAGCAAGAGCCGGAGAGGAUUCUGAGCACGAACCCAGGCCCUACGGGCGCAGCAGGCGCGAUG
rnacentral:rRNA from 1 species